AUCGACUCGGCCGCUACUCCCAGUCUCUCCCAGAUUCGAGCAAGCAGCACGAGCACGAGCCCGGCCAUACGACCUCGGAAGGACACUUCACACCACCGGGUGGAGGCACUCGAGGCCCAGCUGGAACAAGAGAGGAGGAUACGGGAGCAAAUGCAGGCGACGAUGGAGGCCGAGCAGCGGAGAAUGGUGGAGAUUCUUCAGUACAUGCAAAGUAUUGGCGCCGCUACGGGUGUAGCUCCGCCACCUUCGCUAUUCGCUCCACCUCCACCUCCUCACUAUUCUACUCCUAAUCAAUCGGCGGCAUCGAACGAUCCUCAUGCUUCAGCGAAUCCUUCACCAAAUCAGUUUCAUUGACCAUCUUGGUGAUGAUACUUGUGGUUGUUAAUGGUACUUCUAUUUGCAAUUAUGGUUGUAGAUGAUGGAGCACUUGGAUUACUUGUGAACUUAUUUGUGAUAUAUUGUGAGACAUGUGACGUUUGUGAUAUAUAUGUGGUGUUGGUGAUAUAUAUGUGAUGUUGAUGAUA